GACGAACGCUGGCGGCGUGCCUAAUACAUGCAAGUCGAACGCUUCUUUCCUCCCGAGUGCUUGCACUCAAUUGGAAAGAGGAGUGGCGGACGGGUGAGUAACACGUGGGUAACCUACCCAUCAGAGGGGGAUAACACUUGGAAACAGGUGCUAAUACCGCAUAACAGUUUAUGCCGCAUGGCAUAAGAGUGAAAGGCGCUUUCGGGUGUCGCUGAUGGAUGGACCCGCGGUGCAUUAGCUAGUUGGUGAGGUAACGGCUCACCAAGGCCACGAUGCAUAGCCGACCUGAGAGGAUGAUCGGCCACACUGGGACUGAGACACGGCCCAGACUCCUACGGGAGGCAGCAGUAGGGAAUCUUCGGCAAUGGACGAAAGUCUGACCGAGCAACGCCGCGUGAGUGAAGAAGGUUUUCGGAUCGUAAAACUCUGUUGUUAGAGAAGAACAAGGACGUUAGUAACUGAACGUCCCCUGACGGUAUCUAACCAGAAAGCCACGGCUAACUACGUG
rnacentral:rRNA from 1 species